rnacentral:rRNA from 2 species
GAUGGAGCAACGCCGCGUGAGUGAAGAAGGCUUUCGGGUCGUAAAACUCUGUUGUUGGAGAAGAAUGGUCGGCAGAGUAACUGUUGUCGGCGUGACGGUAUCCAACCAGAAAGCCACGGCUAACUACGUGCCAGCAGCCGCGGUAAUACGUAGGUGGCAAGCGUUAUCCGGAUUUAUUGGGCGUAAAGCGAGCGCAGGCGGUUUUUUAAGUCUGAUGUGAAAGCCCUCGGCUUAACCGAGGAAGUGCAUCGGAAACUGGGAAACUUGAGUGCAGAAGAGGACAGUGGAACUCCAUGUGUAGCGGUGAAAUGCGUAGAUAUAUGGAAGAACACCAGUGGCGAAGGCGGCUGUCCGGUCUGUAACUGACGCUGAGGCUCGAAAGCAUGGGUAGCGAACAGGAUUAGAUACCCUGGUAGUCCAUGCCGUAAACGAUGAAUGCUAGGUGUUGGAGGGUUUCCGCCCUUCAGUGCCGCAGCUAACGCAUUAAGCAUUCCGCCUGGGGAGUACGACCGCAAGGUUGAAACUCAAAGGAAUUGACGGGGGCCCGCACAAGCGGUGGAGCAUGUGGUUUAAUUCGAAGCAACGCGAAGAACCUUACCAGGUCUUGGCAUCUUU